AUGAGGAUUCUGCUGAAAAAAAGGAGAAGAAACACGGGCACAUAACGUCACUGGCAGUGU
rnacentral:sRNA from 1 species